rnacentral:rRNA from 1 species
CUACGGGUCGCUGCAGUGGGGAAUAUUGCACAAUGGAGGAAACUCUGAUGCAGCAAUGCCGCGUGGAGGAUGACACUUUUCGGAGCGUAAACUCCUUUUAUAUAGGAAGAAGAUGACGGUACUAUAUGAAUAAGCGCCGGCUAACUCCGUGCCAGCAGCCGCGGUAAUACGGAGGGCGCAAGCGUUACUCGGAAUCACUGGGCGUAAAGAGCGUGUAGGCGGAUUAAAAAGUCAGAAGUGAAAUCCUAUAGCUUAACUAUAGAACUGCUUCUGAAACUCUUAAUCUAGAAUAUGGGAGAGGUAGAUGGAAUUUCUGGUGUAGGGGUAAAAUCCGUAGAGAUCAGAAGGAAUACCGAUUGCGAAGGCGAUCUACUAGAACAUUAUUGACGCUGAGACGCGAAAGCGUGGGGAGCAAACAGGAUUAGAUACCCCCGUAGUC